rnacentral:rRNA from 1 species
AGAGUUUGAUCCUGGCUCAGAAUGAACGCUGGCGGCGUGCUUUACACAUGCAAGUCGAGCGAGGCCGGGUAGCAAUACCCGAGUCGAGCGGCGAACGGGUGAGUAACGCGUGGAUGACCUGCCCUUCAGCGGGGAAUAACCCGGGGAAACUCGGGCUAAUACCGCAUACGAUCGUGAGAUGAAAGGGGCCCGCAAGGGUCUCACUGAAGGAGGGGUCCGCGUCCGAUUAGCUAGUUGGUAGGGUAAUGGCCUACCAAGGCAACGAUCGGUAGCCGGCCUGAGAGGGUGAUCGGCCACACUGGAACUGAGACACGGUCCAGACUCCUACGGGAGGCAGCAGUGGGGAAUUUUGCGCAAUGGGCUAACGCCUGACGCAGCAACGCCGCGUGGAGGAUGAAGGUCUUUGGAUUGUAAAACUCUGUUUUUUGGGACGAACGGCUCAUAUGUAAAUAAUGUAUGAGAUGACGUACCAGA